rnacentral:misc_RNA from 1 species
GACGUCUAUCAGAUAGUCGCAAAUAUAUUUUUGAAGAUAUAUUUUACUAUAAUUAUAUUUUGUAAAUAUGUAUGAUUUUUAAACCAGUUGUUAGGGCCAUACAACAAAUGUUAUAUAAUUAUUGAAAGAAAAGGAAUAAUUUACAAACCUCAAAAAUGUCGGACAUGAUAAUAAAUGAUUCAGUACCAGUUGAUAAAAAAUGGAGCGAACUAAUCAGAUACAAUAUUUUUAUUAUGAAACUGGUCGAAUUUGUGAUUUCACUAGUAAUUACCGUAUUGCCGAUGAUAAUUCCAAGGCCACAAGGGCAUAUGUACUGCAUAUCUACUGGUCCUACUCUAGUUAUAUCGUUGUUAUUCAUUAUCUUGUAUUUACGAAGAAAAGUUCCAUUAUUCAUGGAAAAAAUGUACUUAUUUUUUCAAAUUCUGUUUACAUUUGGUGCUUUUAUUCAAUGUUUUCUACUGAAUCUUGUAAGAGUUUGGCUAUGGUUAAUUUACGGCGUAUUUUAUUUUGCAUUGUUAACAGCAUUAUCACUUGAUCUAUUUCUGAUCGCUAAUGAAAGAGGGUGUACUUUUAGUUGUGCAUAAUAAUAAUUAUAAACUUAUCAGUUUACGUGUACCAGGCAUAAUUAGUAUUUUAAUACAAUAUUCAUUUAAUAAAAUGUGUUUUGAUUCAACCUACACUACAAUAAAAAAAUCAAAACUUGUUGAAAUUUAGUCGAUACUUACCAAAUAUUUCACUUAGUACAGCCUUAC